CCAGACUCCUACGGGAGGCAGCAGUGGGGAAUAUUGCACAAUGGGGGAAACCCUGAUGCAGCGACGCCGCGUGAGUGAAGAAGUAUUUCGGUAUGUAAAGCUCUAUCAGCAGGGAAGAAAAUGACGGUACCUGACUAAGAAGCCCCGGCUAACUACGUGCCAGCAGCCGCGGUAAUACGUAGGGGGCAAGCGUUAUCCGGAUUUACUGGGUGUAAAGGGAGCGUAGGUGGCAUGGUAAGCCAGAAGUGAAAACCCGGGGCUCAACCCCGCGGAUUGCUUUUGGAACUAUCAGGCUGGAGUGCUGGAGGGGUAAGCGGAAUUCCUAGUGUAGCGGUGAAAUGCGUAGAUAUACGGAGGAACACCAGUGGCGAAGGCGGAUUGCUGGACAGUAACUGACGCUGAGGCGCGAAAGCGUGGGGAGCAAACAGGAUUAGAUACCCUAGUACA
rnacentral:rRNA from 1 species